rnacentral:sRNA from 1 species
CUCAUGUAGCUCAAAUUGGCCUUGAAUUUCCUAUGUAGCUGAAGAUGACCUUUAACCCCUGACUGUCUCCUACCUUCUAUUCUGCAGGCUGGUAUAUGUACCACCACACUGUAUGAUCUAUUCUCAUAAUAUAUUCAAGUCAUCUCCCUAUUUUAAGUAUUCAGUAGAAAGUAUGUUAUCAAGAUGUAAAUACUUUGACAGAUGGUAAUUUUUUUUUGUCAGCCUGUGGUUUGACUUUUCACUUUUUUAAACAAAAGGUGUGAUAAACAUAACGGACAUAUUUGGAUUUUAAAAGCAAAAAACAAUGAAUAUAGCAUGAAGUGCAGAUGGGAAAUAAUUCCAUUUUAUAAGACACAUUAAUGUUGAUUACCCUAAAACUGUUUUAAACAUUGAUGGAUUUAUUCACCUCCUUUACCUUGAAGCACGCGAUUGUAUGUUUCUCAUGCAAUUGCUCAUUUCAGUUGUAAUUUUUCUUUUUCUAAGAACAGUUUCCUUUUGUCUAAGUUAGAAAUAAGUUCCCUCUCUCUCACUAGAUUGUCCUGUUUUUCACCUCUGAUCUGAAGCUACUCUAUUCACCAGAUAUUUAGGAACACAUCUUGUGGUUUUAUCAUUAUGUUGGAUUCCUUCUUUCCUUGUGUGUAUCAGUCAAGGAUAGUUAGAGAAGUAAGAUAAGGAACAUAUCACCAUUACAAGUUCUUGCUUGCAUUAAUAAGAAAGAAUGUUAAGUCUUGAUAUCAAUAGUAAAUGAUCUGCAGACUUCAGGGAAUACAUGCAAAAUUCCAACCUGAAUCUGAACAUCUGUGAGCCAAGAGAGCCAAUGAUGGAAGCCUCAGUCUGAAAGUUUUUGUCUGGAGCCCAAGAGGGUCUGUGCUUCACUUCAAGUUGAAAGGACUGAUAAAGCCUGAUGUUAGAACUCAAAUGCAGCCCAUCUGAAGGCAUCCUUUCUGAAAAGAGUGACAGAGCUGUCUUGGAAGAAAACAGAUGAGGAAUCUUGAAAACUAUCUUUUGGCACUUUUGAUGAAGAGAAAGAAAGAGAAAGAGUUUGUCCAAGUUGCCAAAAUCACAGAAACUGGCUUUAGCCUGAAGCAAUUUUAAGGAUACACAUGUGCACUGUGGAAGUGAAGAGCAGGAGUACGCUGAAACUGUUUUUCUGGAGAAGCGGGCUGAGGGCUGAGCAAUCUUCACUGCUGUGUGGACAUCUACUUCUUUCAAUUCUGAGCUCAGUAUCGCCUUCCCGGUACUACAGAAGUCACAGCUGUUCUGGAGAAAUACAAACUUUAUUUUGGAAUGGGAAGAUUGAGAUUUUUCAGUAAAUAUAUGAAGAAAGAAUUAUGACUUGCCUGGAAGCAGCGACCUCAGACAAGCUUCUGGGAGAAUCCUCAAUAGCAGAUCUCAACGGUAGAUAUAAAGUUUAAAUAAAUGCUUACAAUAUCUGCAGUCUGUCUGUUUGAACAGAAAACACUUCUGGCAUGCAAUUUGUAUCAAACUAUACUAUGUGGGUGUGAGUAAUUUACUUUUGUGGAAAUUUUUUCCAAUCACUGUAAAGACUUGGAACAGUCUCAUUAACUCUACCAAAGUUAGGCUAAGAACAGGUGACCAGAAGAUUCUGUUUCCUUCAGAGGAUUUA